GAUUAACGCUGGCGGCAGGCCUAACACAUGCAAGUCGAACGGUAACGCGGGGCAACCUGGCGACGAGUGGCGAACGGGUGAGUAAUGUAUCGGAACGUGCCCAGUUGUGGGGGAUAACUGCUCGAAAGAGCAGCUAAUACCGCAUACGACCUGAGGGUGAAAGCGGGGGAUCGCAAGACCUCGCGCAAUUGGAGCGGCCGAUAUCAGAUUAGGUAGUUGGUGGGGUAAAGGCCCACCAAGCCAACGAUCUGUAGCUGGUCUGAGAGGACGACCAGCCACACGGGGACUGAGACACGGCCCAGACUCCUACGGGAGGCAGCAGUGGGGAAUUUUGGACAAUGGACGCAAGUCUGAUCCAGCCAUGCCGCGUGCGGGAAGAAGGCCUUCGGGUUGUAAACCGCUUUUGUCAGGGAAGAAAAGGGCGACUUUAAUACAGUUGCCUCAUGACGGUACCUGAAGAAUAAGCACCGGCUAACUACGUGCCAGCAGCCGCCGCAGUAA
rnacentral:rRNA from 1 species